GACAGAGGUCCCGAGCGUUAGGCGGAAUCACUGGGCUUAAAGCGCGUGUAGGCGGCCAGAAAAGUCCGCUGUGAAAACUCGAGGCUCAACUUCGAGCUGUCGGUGGAAACUUUCUGGCUAGAGUCCGGAAGAGGAGAAUGGAAUUCCUGGUGUAGCGGUGAAAUGCGCAGAUAUCAGGAAGAACACCCGUGGCGAAGGCGGUUCUCUGGGACGGUACUGACGCUGAGACGCGAAAGCGUGGGGAGCGAACAGG
rnacentral:rRNA from 1 species